rnacentral:rRNA from 1 species
GAUGAACGCUGGCGGCGUGCCUAAUACAUGCAAGUCGAGCGGAAAGACGCGGCGCUUGCUCCGUUGUCGUUAGCCGCGCGCGGGUGUGUCACACGUGGAUAAUGUACCUAUCAGUCUGGUAUCUCUACGGGACACCGGCUCUUAUCCGGUAUAAUAUCUUGCAGCGUGUGGGUCGUUGGUGAGAUUCGGUUUUGCUGUCUCGACUCGAUGGUUACUCGCCGGUUUGGCGAGUAGGUACGGUCACGGGUUUUCAAGGCUAGGCUGCGUAGCCGACGGGCGAGGCGGAUCGGCCACACUGGAACUGAGACACGCUCCAGACUCCUACGGGAGGGAGCAGUAGGGAAUCGUCCGCAAUGGGCGAAAGCUUGACGGAGCAACGCCGAGUGAGUGAUGAAGGUCUCCGGGUCGUGAAACUCGGUUAUUAGGUAAGAACAAAUGUGGAAGUAACUAUGCACGUCUUGACGGUACCUAAUCAGAAAGCCCCGGCUAACUACGUG